ACACCCUGGGAAGGCAGAAGAAAGACACGCAUGUGCAGAGACAGAGACAGGAGCCUAACAUAACUGUCCUUUGAGAGACGUCAUCCAACGGUUGAUAGAAACAGAUGCAGAGACCACAGCCAAACAGUAAGUGGAGCUCUGAAAGCCUUUUGGAAGAGUGCUGGGAUGGAAUUCUGGAGCCGGAUGUGUCAAGGACACCACCACACGAAGAACUACAGAGUAAACUAACCUGGCCCCACAGGGGCACACGACCACAGUAAACUGUUGACAACCUCAGCUAACAGACUAUUUAUUCCUGACUCCAAAGCAGAAGUCACUGCUGGUUUCUUCCAGAAAUGUGCUUUGUGGUAGGGUGACUCAGCGGGGAGAGAAGCCCUUUUGCCCUUUCUACCUACCUCCUUCCUUCUCCGGUGAGGAAGAUGAAUACAGCAGCAAGAACACAGGCCACAGUAGCCAUGGAAGCCUCAGAGGAAACAGAGAGAUAGAAGUCUGGCUCUCUGCAGGCAUUGGAAAGCUUCCCUUCCAGUCCAGGACAUCAUAGGGCCACCAUUCUAUCUCUAAAUUGUUCCCUAGAAUAUUUUAAAGGAAAUAAACAUUUUUCUGACA